UCCCAUUGUCUCAAUUGUGGCAAUAGUGGUUUAAACAGUGCUCAACGAUGAUAAUCUCGUACCAAUAUAUGCGUCAACUACGAGAACAGCCGUGCGAUUCUGUAAGCGUUGUUUAACAAACUCGCACGUGAAUUUGGUGUGAGUUUUCAAAUUGGCAUUCUGUAAAUUUCAUUGUAGUGCCGAAUCUACACUAGCGCCCCUCGCGGGUGAAUUGAACUAGCAAGCGUGAGUUUUUUUUACUAAAAUGUAUGAGUUGACGUUUGAAACGGCAUUCUGUAGUGUAAAUCACGUCGAAUUUCGGCAAGAACUUCGCAUCGCAAAAUCAUUUUAUUUGUCAAAUCAAAAGUUAGUGUUUUAAGUGUUUGUUGUGAGUGAGAAUAUACGAAAACGUUAUAAACCGCUGUUAAUUAUUAAAAGAAUACUAUUAAUUAACAAAAUUGCACUUUAAAAUAACUUUAUUCUUCAUCGAUAUUUUAUGGAGCGUAUGUUUUUAUUGAAAACAUUGUUGAAAAGGCUGACGCUACGGAUCAGCGUGAAAUGCGUCGACAAGCCUACGAAAUUCACAAUUUAUCACUUUUAACUUGGGAUGACGACUAUGUAAAAGUAUAAAGAAAGUGUAUAGAUUGUCGAAGGAUCAUAUGAACCAGUUAGGGUGUGAAUUACACCCUUUGACGAAGACCACUAAAAGCCAUUGAAAAGGACUUUCAACUCUUCUAAAGUUUCAGUUACUGUGCACCUUGUUUAUUUGGGCAAAUGAAGUUACUAAAAAAAUCAUAAAAGAAAAUAUAAGAACAUAUUUGUCCCAGAUAUCCCAGUGUAUAUCUGAGGUUGUGGAGGCUCUGAACAACCCAGCAACUAUAUAUAAAUAUUUAAGAUUCCCGCAGAAUGCUCAAGAAUGGCAAAAGUUGAAGGAAAACUGAAGAAAAAAGAAGAAGGUGGUUUAAACUAAAUAAAUAUUUUUUUUCUUCAUAAAAAAGUACCAAUAUUAAUCUAAUGCAAAAUAUUGCAGUUUUUGUAAAAAAAUUAAAAUCACUUUGGUUGUUGGGUGUAUUGAUGGGACGUUGGUGGCCUUAAAAAGACCUGCUACCAAUAAAAAAUGGUUUUACUGCCACAAAGGCUAUCAUGCCAGAAAAUGUACAAUUUGUAAAGCCAUUAAUAUUUUUCGAAAUUCUGAUGAUAUGUAAUCCAUAAACGAAAUGUGUAUUAUGAACUAUGUAUUCAGAUUGUAUUCAUUUCAGUUAAAUUGAAUUGUGUAUAUUGCUUUAAAGUUAUUGUGAAAUUUAGUAUUUAUAUUAAAUAAACUUUAUUCAGUUAUAAAAAAAACAAAAUAAAAUCUACUAAAGAUUAGUCAAUGACAGCAAGUAAUGACCAUUAUAAUUAUUUAACAUCUUUUCGGUCUUUCUGUAUAUGCUCAACGUUCCAACCUUAUGACACCUUUUGCUAAAUUUUUUUUCAUUUCACCAUCUAAAUUGUUAGGCUCGAGCUCACAGCUCACCUGGUGUUAAGUGGUUACUGGAGCCCAUAGACAUCUACAACGUAAAUGCGCCACCAACCUUGAGAUAUAAAUUCGAAGGUCUCAGUAUAGUUACAACGGCUGCGCCACCCUUCAAAGCGAAACACAUUACUGCUUCAGAAAUAGGCGAUAAUGCUAUGCUAGCUAAUACCUGCUAAUAAUGGCUAGCUAAUGCUAAUACGGAGAGAGAUACUCCUGAAGCUUUGUAGCACCACCUUCAUUCCACUGCCCGUAACUCAGUGAAAAGAACAAUAGUUCUGUUAAAGAGUAGAUUCAGGUGUUUGCUGAUCCAUAGGGUGCCAAUUUAUCACCCUGAUAAGGUAGCAAAAAUAGCUGUUGCGUGUUGUGUUUUGCACAACAUUUGCAAUUGUGCAGAGCUGCCAGUUCCCAUAAUCUCAGAUUAUGAGAUUACAUUUACAUUAUGGUGGUCAUGUUGAAUUACUUUGUUAAAUUCUACUAAUUAGCUUACUUAUAGUGUGAAGUAACUUCAAAUAUAAAUUAAUGAUUUAUAAAAA